rnacentral:rRNA from 1 species
AUUGAACGCUGGCGGCAGGCCUAACACAUGCAAGUCGAGCGGAUGAAGGGAGCUUGCUCCUGGAUGCAGCGGCGGACGGGUGAGUAAGGCCUAGGAAUCUGCCUGGUAGUGGGGGAUAACGUCCGGAAACGGGCGCUAAUACCGCAUACGUCCUGAGGGAGAAAGUGGGGAUCUUCGGACCUCACGCUAUCAGAUGAGCCUAGGUCGGAUUAGCUAGUUGGUGGGGUAAAGGCGUACCAAGGCGACGAUCCGUAACUGGUCUGAGAGGAUGAUCAGUCACACUGGAACUGAGACACGGUCCAGACUCCUACGGGAGGCAGCAGUGGGGAAUAUUGGACAAUGGGCGAAAGCCUGAUCCAGCCAUGCCGCGUGUGUGAAGAAGGUCUUCGGAUUGUAAAGCACUUUAAGUUGGGAGGAAGGGCAGUAAGUUAAUACCUUGCUGUUUUGACGUUACCAACAGAAUAAGCACCGGCUAACUUCGUG